GUGAAAAGCAAUUGUAUGAAGAUAUUUUUGAACAAAUAUUCUGGAACUCUGAUAGGAAUUUUACUUUUGGUACCAAUUAACCACCAGGUUUGCGCCUGAUCCCUUCGUUUACAUGCAGUCGUGGUAAUGCAGCUUAGUCUCAUUAUGUAAUAGUUGGCAGCCGACUGUAUAGAAGAAUGUUUAUAUCUCAUACACAUGCAUACAAAAAAUUUACCUUAGUUUGACGAUCCAGGAAAAGUAGGAAAAGCAAUUAGGAUGAUGUUGUGUAACAGUGCAGCAAAUUUAAAUCUCAACUGUAUAUUGGGUUCUUUCCAAAUGGUAAUAGUAUUUUAUGAGCUGAAACGUUUGUAUAUUGCUGUGUCAACUAAUCUUUAUGUGUUAUAUUGCGUGACCACUUGACAAAAAUAGUUUUAUAUUUAGAUAAUAGAGAAUUAUUUAGCAAAUUAUCCUAUGUGUGGAAUGUAUUCUUUAUUAACAAUGGCAACCAGAAAUCAUA